UGGGUUCACCGUCAUAAUACGCUUUCUUCUUAUGUCAUAAUACGCUUUACGAUUUGUAUAGACAAAAUUGUAAUAUAAACGAGGUGGUACUAUUCUAACUUGCUCAUAAAGGUGGUACUAUUCUAACUUGCUCAUAAAUUCGUCUGUAACAGUUUUCGUUCGUCCUUUGAUUUGUAAAAAGAAAUAAACCAGCACGGGCUCUCCUCCUCGAUGCCUACAGGCACGGCGCCGCCGCGCGGCCAAUCUUCUUCCCCGGCCCUUUGCAAUUCUGUCUCCUUCCCCUCUCCAUCCGCCCAAAUCUUCUCCUGCGCCACCCUGAGCCUUCUCGGUCUCCAACCAGCUCCUGCAAUCUUCAAGCCCGCCGGCACCCAAUCCGCCUACAAUCUUCAAGCCCGCCGGCCCCAAAAGUAACCAGCGGUAGAUUCGAGUGAUCCCCGCUAGGAAUCCAUGGGAUUUGAGGUGGAUUUCCUAGGAGAGCGAGUAGGAAGGGUGAUGGUGGGGUUCAUGAGGAAGAUGAAAAAGCAGAAGGUGAUCCACGGCCCGCACGUGAUGCCGAGCCACCACGGGCCUCCUCCCCUGCCGCUCGCCGCCAUGCCAGGACGGCGUACUGGGCCUUGCCGGACGCCGAGGACAAGCGAGACAAUGGCCAUCCACCCUGGGCCAAGGACAAGCACAGAGCGACCAGCGGCGAUAACUAUGCUUGGGCAGAUGGAUUCCGCCGCGGUGGAGUUCGAGGAGAACAGUAGCUGUGAUGACUCAACAAGAUGGAAGUGCGGGACAAGGGAUGAGUGCAAUCGGCUCAGGUAAACUCCUCAUGUACACCGUCUGGCAUCAGUUCCAGUUGCGCUCGAAGCUUUCAAUCUCGCUGCUCCACUUAGUUUGCUGAAACACUGUCGGCAUGUGCUCCAUCCAAGGUACGCCAUCGUCCAAUUCUAUCACCAGUUUUGAACUUUAAACUAAUGACUAAGGGGUCGGAGUGGCCAGGCCUGAAAGUUCAAGGAAGAUUCAGCUUACAUCUGAAUUCCUUUGUAUUGCCUACAAUGUUAUAGCUUAAAUUCUGCUAAUAAAUAUCUAUAAAUGAUGUUCCAAACAAUUUCUUAGAGAUGGGUUGUGCACAAGGAUGCACAUUGUAGAUCUGUUAACUUAAGUUUUGAAUAAUGAGAUAUGUUCAUAUGCUUUGCUCACUAUUAUUCCUAAUUUUCUCUGGACAGAAAGACUGAAGUUUAUUGCUUUUGUUCAGCCGAAUGCUACUUGAUCAGUACUUAACCAAGAUUGGCAGCCAUUAUAGCUGGUGUAGAACUCAGAUAUACACACUGAAUGUUCCGAUAUGCCAAAAUAAACACAUUAGAAUAUUUUUAAUUAUAUUCCUACUAUUUUUUCGAGAUUGCUCUGCGGUUGCUAAUUUUGAUGUUCUGCUAUACUACUAUUGCAUA